UGCCUCAGAGGAGGAGCUGUUGCAGCCUUGCACGAUCAAAAUAGGGCCUUUUAGGUUUGAAGGUUGAAGCUGAGCCCAUAUUUUGGCUUCAGAUGUCGGGGGAGGGAGAGAAACUGACAGACCCAAACAAAGGAAAAAUGAAUGAAAUGCAGAUAACUCUUUAGAAAACUUUCGUAGGAAAAAAGCGCCUCGUGUGAUCUGGAACAAAGACAUUUUCUAAUCAGAUUUAUCAAGCUGUGAAGUGGGAGUUUAGCGAACGGAAGCAGCAGCAUUCUGUCACCAGGAAAUACUGCUUUAUCCAGAAUUGGUUUGGCCACAGCAACAAAGGCGAUGAAAAUGCUUUAUAUCUUUUAGCAUGAAAUGUGAAGUCUACAUCAACAAGCCCCUCCCUAGAAGGCUGCGGAUCAUCUAGCUGCUGGAAUGUG